UGCCAGCCGCCGCGGUAAUACGUAGGGAGCGAGCGUUAUCCGGAAUUAUUGGGCGUAAAGCGUGCGUAGGCGGUUCGUUAAGUCAAAUCUGAAAGCCCACAGCUUAACUGUGGAGGGUGAUUUGAAACUGGCGAGCUUGAGUACGGCAGAGGUUAGUGGAAUUCAAUGUGUAGCGGUGGAAUGCGUAGAUAUAUUGAGGAACACCAGUGGCGAAGGCGGCUAACUGGACCGGAACUGACGCUGAUGCACGAAAGCUAGGGUAUCAAACGGGAUUAGAUA
rnacentral:rRNA from 1 species